AUUGAACGCUGGCGGCAGGCCUAACACAUGCAAGUCGAACGUGUGGCGGACGGGGGAGUAAUGUCUGGGAAACUGCCCGAUGGAGGGGGAUAACUACAGGAAACGGUAGCUAAUACCGCAUACCCUCGGAUGUGCCCAGAUGGGAUUAGCUAGUAGGUGGGGUAACGGCUCACCUAGGCGACGAUCCCUAGCGGGUCUGAGAGGAUGACCAGCACAACGGGAACGGGGACCGGGUCCAGCCUCCUACGGGAGGCAGCAGUGGGGAAUAUUGCCCAAUGGGCGCAAGCCUGAUGCAGCCAUGCCGCGUGUAUGAAGAAGGCCUUCGGGUUGUAAAGUACUUUAAGCGAGGAGGCGUUACUCGCAGAAGAAGCACCGGCUAACUCCGUGCCAGCAGCCGCGGUAAUUC
rnacentral:rRNA from 1 species